rnacentral:lncRNA from 1 species
AACAAAGUGCAAUUUGCAGAUUUGCUGUCCUGGGGGGCGUCGCUCGUCGAGCCCGCGAUCGCUUUCCUUAAAUUUGUUGUUGCACUUCUAUUUAAAAAAAAAAAUGGGUGCAGGCAAUGCUUAUGGCCGCGUGUGUCCUCGUUUGCUCAAAGGGGGAGGGAGUGAAAGCGAGCGAAAUGAAUCGCGUUAAGUUUCCAACCAUCCAAAAUGCGGACGGGACGGGACGGACGGCGGACCCGGCUCUUCGCGGCGAGGCACAGUCGGCCCCCGUUGGGGUGUCUUUUGGGGCGCUCNUCGCGCGUUUGCCUUUGCCAAAAGCCGAAUGACAGCGAGCGGGGAAACGUCGAGCGCACCAAAAAGCAGCCAGCGAGCUGGAAAGUCAGCUCGAAUUCCUCGUCUUCCCCCUCCCGCCUUGUCUUCUAAUUCGGAGAGAAAGCGAAUCGCUUCCUUCCCUCCUCCACGCGCCUCUCGCUCCCCUUUUUCUCCGAGGCGCGCGCCGUCGGACCUCCACGGGCUUUCUGGGUGCCGUUCUGCUCUCCCGGCGGGGUCUCGUCCUUGCUUCCUCCGAGCUCGCUUCGCGCCGUCUCGCCCGCCCAUCCGCAGCCAGCCAUGUCAGACACAGUGGUGGACACCAGCUCCGAGAUCCCCACCAAGGAGUUGA